rnacentral:rRNA from 1 species
AAUGAACGCUGGCGGCAGGCUUAACACAUGCAAGUCGAACGAGAUCUUCGGAUCUAGUGGCAGACGGGUGAGGAACACGUGGGAACAUCCCUUUCAGUUCGGAAUAACGUUGGGAAACUAACGCUAAUACCGGAUACGUCCUUCGGGAGAAAGAUUUAUCGCUGAAAGAUUGGCCCGCGUCUGAUUAGCUAGUUGGUGAGGUAACGGCUCACCAAGGCUACGAUAAGUAGCUGAUCUGAGAGGAUGAUCAGCCACAUUGGGACUGAGACACGGCCCAAACUCCUACGGGAGGCAGCAGUGGGGAAUAUUGGACAAUGGGCGCAAGCCUGAUCCAGCCAUGCCGCGUGAGUGAUGACGGCCUUCGGGUUGUAAAGCUCUUCUGUCCGGGAAGAUAAUGACUGUACCGGAAGAAUAAGCCCCGGCAAACUUCGUGCCAGCCGCCGCGGUAA